AUUGUCCUUAUAGGCGUUGCAGAUGUGGCUGCUAUGUCACAUGUGUAUCUGUAGGUGGCAGAGAAGAGAGAGGCUAUGUCUUCAUUCAGUGUUCUGACCUAUGAACAUCUGAAGUAGCCUAACAUU